GGAAGUAAAAGUCGUAACAAGGUUUCCGUAGGUGAACCUGCGGAAGGAUCAUUAUUGAUUUUUCUAAUGAGGAGUUGAGUUGUUGCUGGCCUCUGGGGAUUAGUUUCUCCAAGGCAUGUGCACACCUUCUCUUUCAUCCACACACCCCUGUGCACUUGUGAGACAGUAAGGUUUCUUUUUUUGGGGGGCCUUGCUGUCUACUUAAUCUACACACACUCUAUUUAUUUUAAAACGAAUGUAAUUGAUGUAACGCAUCUAAUACUAAGUUUCAACAACGGAUCUCUUGGCUCUCGCAUCGAUGAAGAACGCAGCGAAAUGCGAUAAGUAAUGUGAAUUGCAGAAUUCAGUGAAUCAUCGAAUCUUUGAACGCACCUUGCGCUCCUUGGUAUUCCUUGGAGCAUGCCUGUUUGAGUAUCAUGAAAUCUUCAAAGUAAACCUUUUUUGUUAAUUCAAUUUAGGUCUCUUACUUUGGUCUUGGAGGUUAUUGCAGCUUCACACCUGCUCCUCUUUGUGCAUUAGCUGGAUCUCAGUGUUAUGCUUGGUUCCACUCAGCGUGAUAAGUUAUCUAUCGCUGAGGACACUGGUAAAAAGGUGGCCAAGGUAAACGCAGAUGAACCGCUUCCAAUAGUCCAUUGACUUGGACAAUUAUUUAUGAUCUGAUCUCAAAUCAGGUAGGACUACCCGCUGAACUUAAGCAUAUCAAUAAGCGGANGAA
rnacentral:rRNA from 1 species